UGGGGAAUAUUGGACAAUGGGCGAAAGCCUGAUCCAGCCAUGCCGCGUGUGUGAAGAAGGUCUUCGGAUUGUAAAGCACUUUAAGUUGGGAGGAAGGGCAGUAAGCGAAUACCUUGCUGUUUUGACGUUACCGACAGAAUAAGCACCGGCUAACUCUGUGCCAGCAGCCGCGGUAAUACAGAGGGUGCGGGCGUUAAUCGGAUUUACUGGGCGUAAAGCGUGCGUAGGCGGCUAAUUGAGUCGGAUGUGAAAUCCCCGAGCUUAACUUGGGAAUUGCAUUCGAUACUGGUUAGCUAGAGUGUGGGAGAGGAUGGUAGAAUUCCAGGUGUAGCGGUGAAAUGCGUAGAGAUCUGGAGGAAUACCGAUGGCGAAGGCAGCCAUCUGGCCUAACACUGACGCUGAGGUACGAAAGCAUGGGGAGCAAACAGG
rnacentral:rRNA from 1 species